AAGAUCCUAGCUUAAUUAAAGCGCCUGGGUUGCAUUCAGGAGAUGUGGGGUAAUAUCCCGCGGGUCUUA
rnacentral:tRNA from 1 species